UUUUUUCAUUCCCUGUAUCCCAGAACUGUGUUCCGGAUUGUAUCUGUGAGGACUCUUGGAACAACACUUACACAUGCCUCAGAACACUUUCUUCUUCUGAAAACAGCAUUAUUUGUGUUUUCGAUGAUCACCAGAAUUUUGUGGAGAUCUACAAUAUUACAGCUGACCCUCACCAGCUUCAUAAUCUAUAUUUUAUGGACACUUGUAGAUAAACUUA